AGAGUUUGAUCAUGGCUCAGGAUGAACGCUGGCGGCGUGGAUAAGGCAUGCAAGUCGAACGGACAUUUUUUGAGAUUAUAUCAAAGGAGAUGUUAGUGGCGAACGAGUUAGUAACACCUUGGUACGUACCCCGAAGUCGGGCACAACGGGUCGAAAGAUCCGCUAAUUCCCGAUGGCACCGGUGCUUCGCACCGAAAUAUUUAAAUAUUUAAACAUUUAAAUGUUGCGGCGCGCAGCGCCGGUUAAAGUCGUAAGACGCUUUGGGAGCGGCCUAGGUCCUAUCAGCUUGUUGGCGGGGUAAAAGCCCACCAAGGCUAUGACGGGUAGGGGGUGUGAGAGCACGUCCCUCAACGAUGGAACUGCGAUACGGUCCAUACACCUACGGGUGGCAGCAGUCGAGAAUAUUCGACAAUGGGCGAAAGCCUGAUCGAGCGACGCCGCGUGCAGGAAGAAGGCCUUCGGGUUGUAAACUGCUUUUGUCAGGGAAAAAUUUUGAUUGUACCUGAAGAAUAAGGGGUUGCUAACUCUGUGCCAGCAGCAGCGGUAAUACAGAGACCCCGAGCGUUAUCCGGAAUUACUGGGCGUAAAGCGCGAGCAGCCGGUUGCUUUAGUCUGCCGUUAAAUCUCACGGCUCAACUGUGAGACCGCGGUGGAAACGGAGCGACUGGAGCGGGUAAGAGGUAGGCGGAACGUGCAGUGUAGGGGUGAAAUCCAUUGAUAUUGCACGGAACACCAAAAGCGAAGGCAGCCUACUAGUGCUCUGCUGACGGUCAUUCGCGAAAGCGUGGGGAUCAAAAAGGAUUAGAUACCCUAGUAGUCC
rnacentral:rRNA from 1 species